rnacentral:rRNA from 1 species
AACGCUGGCGGCGUGCUUAACACAUGCAAGUCGAACGGAAAGGCCCUGCUUUUGUGGGGUGCUCGAGUGGCGAACGGGUGAGUAACACGUGAGUAACCUGCCCUUGACUUUGGGAUAACUUCCAGGAAACUGGGGCUAAUACCGGAUAGGAGCUCCUGCUGCAUGGUGGGGGUUGGAAAGUUUCGGCGGUUGGGGAUGGACUCGCGGCUUAUCAGCUUGUUGGUGGGGUAGUGGCUUACCAAGGCUUUUGACGGGUAGCCCGGCCUGAGAGGGUGACCCGGCCACAUUGGGACUGAGAUACGGCCCAGACUCCUACGGGAGGCAGCAGAAGGG